UACGGAAGAUCCGAGCGUUAUCCGGAUUUAUUGGGUUUAAAGGGUGCGCAGGCGGGGGAUUAAGUCGGCGGUGAAAUUUUGCAGCUCAACUGUAAAAGUGCCUUCGAAACUGGUUUCCUUGAGUGUAGAUGAAGUAGGCGGAAUUUGUGGUGUAGCGGUGAAAUGCAUAGAUAUCACGAGGAACUCCGAUUGCGCAGGCAGCUUACUAAACUACUACUGACGCUCAGGCACGAAGGCGUGGGGAUCAAACAGGAUUAGAUACCCCGGUAGUCCCU
rnacentral:rRNA from 1 species